UACUAGAGUAGCACUCGCAUAUCAAUAAGCGGAGGAAAAGAAACUAACAAGGAUUCCCCUAGUAACGGCGAGUGAAGCGGGAAGAGCUCAAAUUUGAAAUCUUAAAGGGUUUCCCUUUACGAAUUGUAGUUUAAAGAAGUGCUUUUCUGUUGAGGUUUUGGUAAAAGUUCUUUGGAAUAGGACAUCAUAGAGGGUGAGAAUCCCGUAUUUGACCUUUACUUUCAACUUUGUGAUACACUUUCAAAGAGUCGGAUUGUUUGGGAAUGCAGUCCAAAAUGGGUGGUAAAUUUCAUCUAAAGCUAAAUAUUGGCGAGAGACCGAUAGCGAACAAGUACCGUGAGGGAAAGAUGAAAAGAACUUUGAAAAGAGAGUUAAACAGUACGUGAAAUUGUCAAAAGGGAAGCGUUUGACACCAGUGUUGUUUUUCUGAAAAUCAAUUAAAGAACUGUUUAUGCUAAGCUGUUUAGACUUUAUCAGCUAUCUGUUUAGUUUUGAGCUUUUCUUUAAUGCACUUUUCAGUUAACAAGUCAACAUCAAUUUCUUUUGCUGUAAAAAAGCUUGAGGAAGGUGGCUUGAGAUUCGUCUUAAGUGUUUAUAGCCUCUUGCCUAUGCAGUCGGAGAGAUUGAGGUCUGCAGCGUAGAUCCUUCGGGGCUAAAUGCAUUUGUGCUAAGUUAUAGCAUUUUAUAGACAACUUGUUGACUAUGAUUUGUCUUGUAGCUUACUCGCUUAUGUUAUUUUACCUACGCUUAGGAUGUUGAUCUCUCACAGUCGAGC
rnacentral:rRNA from 1 species